CUACGGGUGGCAGCAGUAGGGAAUUUUCGGCAAUGGGCGAAAGCCUGACCGAGCAAUGCCGCGUGAAUGAUGAAGGUCUUCGGAUCGUAAAGUUCUGUUAUUGGGGAAGAACAACUAGUCUAGGAAAUGAUUCUAGUUUGACGGUACUCAAUCAGAAAGCUCCGGCUAACUACGUGGCCAGCAGCCGCGGUAAUACGUAGGGAGCGAGCGUUUUCCGGAAUUAUUGGGCGUAAAGCGUGCGUAGGCGGUUUGUUAAGUCAAAUCUGAAAGCCCCCGGCUUAACCGGGGAGGGUGAUUUGAAACUGGCAGACUUGAGUACGGCAGAGGUUAGUGGAAUUCAAUGUGUAGCGGUGGAAUGCGUAGAUAUAUUGAGGAACACCAGUGGCGAAGGCGGCUAACUGGACCGGAACUGACGCUGAGGCACGAAAGCGUGGGGAGCAAACAGGAUUAGAUACCCUUGUAGUC
rnacentral:rRNA from 1 species